UUCCAAUAGAAACAGAGGUCUAGAGAGAGGUUUUCCACCAGAGACUGAUGAAGCCAUCAGCUACAUCGGAACAGGGUUUCACCAGCCUCAGCUUGAAAGGAGGUGAUUUGCUGGCAGAAAGCAGACCUGUUCACCAGAGCUUUGCGGGGGGUGAGGGGCAUAACCCCCAACCGAUCUGGAGGUAUUGUUAGUGGCUCCUGCACACCCUGAGCGG
rnacentral:lncRNA from 1 species